rnacentral:rRNA from 1 species
UACGUAGGGGGCGAGCGUUGUUCGGAUUCAUUGGGCGUAAAGAGCUCGUAGGCGGUUUGGCAAGUCGGGUGUGAAAUCUCUGGGCUCAACUCAGAGAGGCCACUCGAUACUGCUAUGACUAGAGUCCGGUAGGGGAACAUGGAAUUCCUGGUGUAGCGGUGAAAUGCGCAGAUAUCAGGAGGAACACCGGUGGCGAAGGCGGUGGUCUGGGCCGAUACUGACGCUGAGGAGCGAAAACGGGGGGAGCGAACAGG